rnacentral:hammerhead_ribozyme from 1 species
AUCUAGCUGACGAGUCCCAAACAGGACGAAAGGCUAAUCCCGGAU